rnacentral:tRNA from 1 species
GAUUAAUUAGUUUAUUAAAAAUAUUAGUUUGUGGAACUAAAGAAUUUAUUAGUCA